rnacentral:rRNA from 1 species
AACGAACGCUGGCGGCAGGCCUAACACAUGCAAGUCGAACGGGAUCUUCGGAUCUAGUGGCGGACGGGUGAGUAACGCGUGGGAACGUGCCCUUUGGUUCGGAAUAGCCCUGGGAAACUGGGAGUAAUACCGGAUGAGCCCUUCGGGGGAAAGAUUUAUCGCCAAAGGAUCGGCCCGCGUUGGAUUAGGUAGUUGGUGGGGUAAUGGCCUACCAAGCCGACGAUCCAUAGCUGGUUUGAGAGGAUGAUCAGCCACACUGGGACUGAGACACGGCCCAGACUCCUACGGGAGGCAGCAGUGGGGAAUCUUAGACAAUGGGGGAAACCCUGAUCUAGCCAUGCCGCGUGAGCGAUGAAGGCCUUAGGGUUGUAAGCUCUUUCGUGGGGGAAGAUAAUGACUGUACCCCAAGAAGAAGCCCCGGCUAACUCCGUGCCAGCAGCCGCCGUAAAAC